rnacentral:lncRNA from 1 species
AUGUUUUUCCUAAUAUUCAGGUGGAAUCCCUACAGUUUGAAUCCAUUUUUCCCAUUCAGCCCCAGUAUCUCCCCCCCUCCCACUUUCUUUCUUUCUUUCCUUUUCUCUCCUUCUUUUCCCUUUCUAUCUUUCCUUCUUUUUCUCUCCCUUUUCCCUUUUCUUCUUCUUUUCCCUCUUUCCUUCUUUCUUUCCUUCCUUUUCUCUCCUUCUUUUCCCUUUCUAUCCUUCCUUCUUUUUCUCCCUUUUCCCUUUCCUUCCUUUUCUCCUUUUCCUCUUUCCUUCCUCCCCUUCUUUUCCUUUUUCCCUUCCUUUUCUCCUUCUUUCCCUUUUCUUUUGUUUUCUCCCCUUCUUUUCUUUCUUUUUCCUUCCUUCCUUCUAGCUGUCCUUCCUUUUCUCUCCUUCUUUUCCUUUUAUUUCUUUCCUUCCUUUUCUCCCCUUCUUUUCCCGUUCUCUUCUUCCUUUUUCUCCCUUUUCCCUUCUUUCCUUCCUUCCUUUUCCCUUUAUUUCCUUCCUUUUCUCCCCUUCUUUUCCUUUUCUUUUUUUCCUUCCUUCCUUCCCUUUCUCUCCUUCUUUUCCCUUUUUAUCCAUCCUUCUUUUUCUCCCUUUUCUCUUUUCUUCCUUUUCUCCUUCUUUUCCCUCUUUCCUUCUUUCUUUCCUUCCUUUUCUCUCCUUCUUUUCCCUUUCUAUCCUUCCUUCUUUUUCUCCCUUUUCCCUUUCCUUCCUUUUCUCCUUUUCCUCUUUCCUUCCUCCCCUUCUUUUCCUUUUCUCCUUCUUUCCCCUUUCAUUCCUUCCUUUUCUCCCCUUCUUUUCUCUUUUUCUUUCUUUUUCUUUCCUUCCUUCCUUUUCUCUUUCUUUUCCUUUUAUUUCCUCACUUCCUUUUCUCCCCUUCUUUUCCCGUUCUCUCCUUUCUUUUUCUCCCUUUUCCCUUCUUUCCUUCCUUCCUUCUUUCGCUUUCUCUGCUUUUCCCUUUCUUUCUUUCCUUCCUUUUCUCCCCUUCUUUUCCUUUUCUUUCUUUCCUUCCUUCCUUUUCCCUUUCCUUCCUUCCUUCCCCCCAUAUUCCUUCUUUUUGUUCCAGGAGAACCUGAAAGCAGUGUCAAGAGAGUAGAGAGGUGUGUGUCAAUUAUUGUAGUAUUCUGUGACUUUAUUUAUUUUGUGUCAAAUGCAUUGCAUAAAAUAAGUUUAAAAAUAUAUUAA